CUAGUAACGGCGAGUGAAGCGGCAACAGCUCAAAUUUGAAAUCUGGCUCUCGGGCCCGAGUUGUAAUUUGUAGAGGAUGCUUUUGAUGCGGUGCCUUCCGAGUUCCCUGGAACGGGACGCCAUAGAGGGUGAGAGCCCCGUCUGGUUGGAUGCCAAAUCUCUGUAAAGCUCCUUCGACGAGUCGAGUAGUUUGGGAAUGCUGCUCUAAAUGGGAGGUAUAUGUCUUCUAAAGCUAAAUACCGGCCAGAGACCGAUAGCGCACAAGUAGAGUGAUCGAAAGAUGAAAAGCACUUUGAAAAGAGAGUUAAAAAGUACGUGAAAUUGUUGAAAGGGAAGCGUUUAUGACCAGACUUGGGCUUGGUUAAUCAUCUGGGGUUCUCCCCAGUGCACUUUUCCAGUCCAGGCCAGCAUCAGUUUUCGCCGGGGGAUAAAGGCUUCGGGAAUGUGGCUCUCUCCGGGGAGUGUUAUAGCCCGUUGCGUAAUACCCUGGCGGGGACUGAGGUUCGCGCAUCUGCAAGGAUGCUGGCGUAAUGGUCAUCAACGACCCGUCUUGAAACACGGACCAAGGAGUCGUCUUCGUAUGCGAGUGUUCGGGUGUCAAACCCCUACGCGUAAUGAAAGUGAACGCAGGUGAGAGCUUCGGCGCAUCAUCGACCGAUCCUGAUGUUCUCGGAUGGAUUUGAGUAAGAGCAUACGGGGCCGGACCCGAAAGAAGGUGAACUAUGCCUGUGUAGGGUGAAGCCAGAGGAAACUCUGGUGGAGGCUCGCAGCGGUUCUGAAGUGCAAAUC
rnacentral:misc_RNA from 1 species